AUCAAUGGCUCCAUCUUUCACCACUGUUAAACUUUUCUCUUCCUUUGCUAUGGCAGAAAUUUCAAACUGCUUCACCAUCAGACGUGGUUACACGGCUGUAUCAAAAGUUACAGAUUCCAUGAGUAACAGCAACAUGCGACCAAAGUCAGAGGAAGAGAAAGUGUCCAAUGAGAUCAAUUGGUGGAUUCCAGAUCCUCUGACUGGUUUCUACAAACCCCUUAACUUCAAUGAUAUUGACGCUGCUGAAUUGCGUGCUAAGCUUUUGCCAAAAAAGUCCAACAAACCAUCUUCC
rnacentral:sRNA from 1 species